UUGUUGCUAUAAUUGCCAACCCUGAAAUCUGAAUCACAGCCGACGGUUUAUUUGGCGCUGGUUUUGGGAAAAGCGGGUCUACUUCCAUUUGGGUAGUUGUCCGGGGACUCGCAAAACGCUUGAGAUCGGGCUGGUCGGUUGGCUCGUGAGAACAGUGAUGGCUUGUAGUGCGGAUAGGGGAGCAGGAUGAGAGAGAGCGAGGGACGGAUGACGGAGGAGCGGCCACCGCCGUCCAUCGCCGGCGACGGGG
rnacentral:lncRNA from 1 species